rnacentral:lncRNA from 1 species
CCAUUUAAGGGAAAGUGGGUCGAAGGGCUUCCCCAGGGAAAGAAAAUGAGCUCUGGAGCCAAAUGCAGAAGAGGAAGCGAUUGAUUUCAUGCCCACUAUUAUUCUCAUCCUCCCAAAUAAGAGAAUCCAUUGUUUGGCGGGCUAAUGGUUAAGAAAGGUGGGGAUGCGCACAGGUAGCCCCAUCCCUGAGACCGUAUCUAAUUCCCUAGUGUGGCUCAGGCUAUCCUCCAGGCUGCGUGGGGGUGGGGGUGGGGUAGGGGUGUUGGGAACUCUCUCUAGCCAUGGGUAAUACAGCCAGAACUGCAUGCAUUCUCACGCCCCAGAACUGGCGUCCCAGCCCAAGUGCGAAGUUGGGCAUUGCGACCUGAAAAGCAGAGUAAGAGCCAUUCAAAGCAGCAAGUUACAGUACCUUGAGAAGUCUGACAGAUGGGAGAAAGGCUGCGUGGCAUAGCUUCCGGAUGGUCCAAUUUAGGGGUCGAGAAGCAUCAGUCUGAUUCAUGACCCCUUCCAAAUUCCACCGGGAAGACAAGAAACUGCAAAUCUGGGCAGUGCCUAGAAAAUAAACGGUCCCCCACGGCCCUGGCAUCCCAUGGUCAUCUCCACACCUGCAAAUUCCAUUAGGGCAGAGGCUUCCUGGAACUUGGGAGUCUAGUCAAGUGGCGUUUCCUGAGCCCCUGAACCUUCUUAAGAAAGCCACCUCCCCUCUCCCUGCAGCCGUGCUCAUGCAUACCAAAUGUGGCCGAAUGGAGGCACGCUGCCUGCUGCUUCGGGGAGGGGAUGCUUGAUUUCGAAGGAGAGGGACAGCCUGCACAAAACAGCCUGUGGUCGGAGUCAGAGGAGCCUGCUCCAGAAUGCGCGCUCCCUCUCCUGCUCUCCUCCUGCAAACACAGUGGGGAGAAGGACAUUUUGAAGUGUUGGCAGCUGGAAUGUCAGGCACGGUGUUGGGCACUUCUCAUCAUGUAGGAGAAGCCACUACAGAGAACCAGUGGGUAAAUGCACACACCUGACAUUCCUGACAGCAUCCUCCACCCCUGCAACUGAAAGGCAACCACACAUCUAGAAAUAAGAUAUGAAACUAAUAUAUAAAAAAUGUGUUGCAUUGAAAAUUUAAAAGAUAUGCAAACAUCUUGUAUCUCACUAAAAAUA